rnacentral:lncRNA from 1 species
GCUGAGAACAACAACGAAAAAGGGUUUUUGGUUUUGGACUCUGAAAGAAACUCAAAGUGAUGCGUUUCAUCGUUCUUUCGCCCAAACCCUAACCUCGUCCUCGUGCAUUCAUUCCCCGCGAUCAGGUUCGCUCUCGAUUUCCCCCUCUGUUUCGCGUCCUUUUCCGUUUCCAUUCCUCACAACACUCGCAUCAUUCUCAAUUUCACUGAUUACUUUUUUUUUUUUUUUUGGUUAUUGUCGUCUUUUUAUGCAGUUUUAUUGCUGAGAGCAUUUAAUUUAAGCUUGAAUUACUCGUAGAUUUGAGAUUUCAUGAUUGAACAUCUAGAAAUGGCUAUUAGUAUUUGUCUUUGGGUUUUGGCAUUCAGAUAUCUCUGUUGGAAUUCAGUUCAGCCAAAUUAUUUUGGUGGAAUUUUAUUCUGACAGCUUUUAAGUUAAGUUCCACAAAUUAUUGGGUUGCUUGGAUGCAAGCUAUAGUAGUUUAAGACGAAGAUACGCUGACAAACUGACAUUUGAUUGCACAUGUGGAAUUGAAAUCACUCAGAUGAACAAGAAAUUUAGGAAGUUGUUUAGAGUGAUAAGAUCUAAAAUUUGAUAUAAGAUAUGACUGCACUUGGGGCCAAGAGAUGAUGCAAUUAAUUUUUUAUAUUUGAAUUUCUCUUGUGCUUGAACUUUUGAAAUUUGAAGUAGACGGACAAUAGUAAGAUUGACUCUUGCGAUUGAAGGAUGAUUUCCUUUUACCUCUGGUGGAUAGAGAAAUUAGAUGAAAAUUAAAUCCUUCUCAUAAUCAAUUUUCCCUUUUCAUUUGUAUGUUCCCUCAAGUGAGAAAUUUUAAGCAGUUGCAGGCACUUUGGCACCUUUAGGUAUCUGUAUUUGUUUAAUGUUUAAGGUGGCAAACUUCAUGUGAUGCUGUCCAUCUCUUUCCUUUCACAUUUCCUUAUUUUUCUCCAGUUUUGCUCCCAAGAUGUCUGGGCUUUGUUUUGUCUAUAUAUCAAAUUUUUAGGAACAUCCUUAAAAUUGUGGGAUGAUAGGAUCACUCUGAAAUAUCAAAGUUGUUUUGUAAACGCUAUGCAGAGCACUAGGAGAAUCUAAAGGAGAUUGAGAUAAGAUGCCAUGUUAAAGGAAUUAAAAAUUUACAUGAUUCAGGACAUUGGUGUCUUACUCAAGGUUCAAUUGAUAACCUUAAGGCCACUUUGAAAGAUAUUAAUUCACUGGGAGGACCAUAGCAACCUAGCUGGGAUAAUUGGAAAUCUGAAGAGAUGAAUGUAUUCUAUGAUAAAGUCAUAAAAGUGUUAAUGGUGCAUGUUAUUCCUAUUGUAUGUAGUACUGAAGAUAGAGAAGCCAUAAAAGUGAUAGGAAAGCGUCAAUUUAAAUACUCCUUUGGAUGCAUUUGUUAAAAACACUAAUUUAACUGAGAAAUGUAUAUGUGCACUGAAAUUGGGUCAAUGAGCAAAUGCUCCAAAAAACUUAUAAGACUUGCUGAGUCUAGUCACUGUCAGGUCCUUAAGAACAAUGUUAGAACGGGUGAGGAACAGAAUCUGAGCAAGCUCAACACAUUACACACGUAUCGGGUAAAGAGUGUUAUGCAUCCUACACUGCAACAUGGCAUUACUAUCAAUUCUUUUUAACUUUUAGGUAUUGCAUUCCAAAUAAAAGACUUGUUCUUAAAGGGAGUUUUGGAUUUCCAGUAGGUUUUGUGAAGAAUACUUUUCCUAAUUCAAGGAAUGGGUGAGGAAUUGAAAAAAGAUAUACAGGAAAAUGCCCUAGAAGGAUCAUGGGACCAUAUCCUUUUAUCUAGUCAUGAAGACAAAUAAUAGAGCCAGGGAGUCCCAAAUAGGACUUCAAUUCCAAAAAUUUCUGUCAUUUAAAUUUUGAAAUAAGUUUAAAUUCCAUGAAAACCAAAAGGAUUCUUGCACAAUUUUGGGGAGGAGGAUUUAGAGAAGAAGGGUUAUGAAGACAUAGAAUGGCACAAUUAAAGGCGCAUUUCCUAUGCAUAGGUCCUCCCUGUGAGCCAUUAGCCUUCUUCAAGGAAGGCAAAGACUUAAAGGUAGAGGAACCUUGAGAAAUAAAUUUCCAAGCACUAGAAUGAGAGGCUUGGAAGACAUUUUUGGCAUCAUUCCUUUUUGGAUCUUCUACAGAUUACCUGGUGCCAGAGGAAUCGAGGUUCCAAAGGAGAAUAGCAAAGCAAUGUCAGAGCAAUGUUCUUAGACGCAAAAUGACCAAGACCCCAUAGCUGUAGUAGCUUUUCUGUCUUCUUUUGAUCUCUGUUAAUCUCCGACUAUUUAUGAGAUUAUGCAAGAUGGCUAGUGAAACCAUUCUUAAUAGGCAACUUUCUAAGCCAUUUCAUGUGCUUCUUAAUUUGUUUUUGACUUGUAUACAGUGAAUGUCUUGAGGUGCUUCUUUACAAAAUUAUGACACCAAAAUUUGUCAUUGAGGCUAUUUAAUUUCAGUCAUGUGGGGGCUUUUCGUAGUUAAUGUCUUGAAUGCUUCCCUAUACAGUACUUCCUCCAGUCUCAAAUAUAAGGAAAAAAACAUUUUCUUGGUCUCAAAUAUAAGAAAAUUUAAACUAACUUUACCUUAUUUAAUGCUAGUAUCUCUAAAACACCUUUCAUUUAUUUGAGGUGUUAGUUUGAAUGACUCUUUUCUAUUCUUGGUACCAAGUUCCAAUGAAGGAUAAAUUGGGAAAAAAUGAUUUUUUAAUUGAAAUGGUGCAAUUAAAUGUGGUUAACUAACUUUUUUAGUUAGUGUAAAUCGUUUUUUUUUAUCUUAUAUUUUAGACCAGACGGACUAUAAGCUAGCAAUUUUUUAAAUUGGCCACCCCAUGCCACAUUCUGGCAUUCACUACUUUUUUAUACUGUGUAUUAUUUUGAUGUUAUUUUGAAUUUAGAUUGAGUUGGUUAACUAAAUGACAGUUUAAUUUGCUAUAAUUUAAUCAAAGCAGCCAUCUAUUCAGAUUUACUUUAAACAGUGUAAAUAUAACAGUACCACUUUUACUUAUCUUAUUAUUAUAAUAAAUAUUACUUUUUGCAGAUAAAAAAAAAAAGAUUUACUUGAAACAAUGAUUUAACAUAUUCUAGUUGCUAGUUACUAGAAAAUUAGAUUUCUACUGAAUUUAUUUAUUCUUAAAGAAGAGAUGUAUCACCAUGAAUGAGGACAACAGGUAGGUAUUCCUGUGCUUGUAAUGAUUGAUUUCUGUUUUGCGUGAUGAAUGCAUCAACCUUAAACACUAAAUCUGCAGUACUUAACAUUAAUAAGGAUGGAACUGUUUAUAUUGUAUCAUUCUUAUUCUCUGUCCUAACUCUUUGGGGGCUACCUUAAUUGGAGCCUCUAGGGUGGUGUGUAAUCUCACAUCAACUAGAGAUAUGGCUUAAAUACAACUUAUAAAGCUUGGGUAUUCCUCACCUUACAAGCUAGUUUUGUGGGGUUGAAUUAGGUCAUAGGCCCAAAUUCCAACAAUUGUUAUAAGUCCUUGUAUGCAUAUUAAAUAUAUAAAUACCUUGGAAUGAUCACAGGACAGUGGAAUUGUUUGACCAACUUAUUUCUGAUCUUUCUACAACUGAUUCAUUCUGGUAGUUCUGGUAGUUGUUACCACAAGCAAACCAGCCAUAAUUGAUUUAUUUCACAGUAUUUGAAAUUUUCCAAUGUUUUUAUGUGUAUUUCAGGUGUGUUUUUAUCCAUUGCAAACAGCAUGAAUUUUGCAGCAUCAUUGUGCAGAAGAUUGAAUAUCAAGGAACUUGUGACAUAUGUUCCUGUGUAUAGAAGCACCAGUGGUAUAACUUCAUGAUCCUAUAUUUGCUAUUGUAUAAUGUAUUUCAAAAGUAAUCUACACUAAUGGUUUAUUGUCCCCCACUAUUUUAUUUUUAGGUGUUUCUGGAGAAGGUUUGAAUUUGGCGUUCAGGCGUUGGGCUUCCAAAAAGACUGCUGGUUCCACAAAGAAUGGACGGGAUUCAAAACCCAAGAACCUUGGAGUGAAGAAAUUUGGUGGGGAGGUAUUUGUUUUAUUCUUUACGAGUAUGAGUAUUAAUUUUAUUCAAUGCAGUUAGAGGAAGACAAAACUGAACCUGGAUGUUCUGGACAUGAUCCAUUUACUCAUGAUGUAACACUUUUCUUACUAUGCAGAGGGUGAUACCUGGAAAUAUCAUUGUUCGACAGCGUGGCACUCGUUUUCAUCCAGGAAACUAUGUUGGACUUGGGAAAGAUCAUUCUCUGUUUGCAUUGAAAGAGGGAUGGGUGAAGUUUGAACGGAACAAGUUGACUGGUCGCAAGUGGGUGCAUAUUGAGCCUAAGGAAGGUCAUGUUCUCCACCCUCUGUAUGCAGCAGAUGGUUCUGCAUCUGAACUCAAAGUUGCUGUCUAAGUCUCAUCUGUCAUCCAUGAUAGAAAUUUUUAUUUACUGACAAAAUUCAGCUUUACCUUCUUGGCUUCUGUGAACUUCUAGAUCUAAAAUUGAAAAACUAGUCAGGUGUUUUGGUACAUUGGAAGCAUUUAAAAGAUUGAGUCCAGAAGGCAAGAUUAGUUGUUACUUCAGCAUGCUAGAGACUUGCUCCUUUUUGUAUUUGUCAAAUUAUGCCUGAUUAUUAGACUGUAAUUGGUUAGGGCGAGUUUGAUCAGAUCAUGUAGGAAUAAGGUUCAAUUUUACCAAUAUGUUCAACUACAUUUAUGAAAGCACUUCUCUACAUUUAUGAAAGCAUUUCUACUUGACACAUCGUUAAACUUAUCUUUCUUUUCUUGAAUUCUCAAAGCUCAUUUGGCUCCAUCAAUUGCUAUCUUAGAUGUGCUACCAAAGGCACUGGGGUUAGCUAGCUAAUUUGUAACCAAUUAUUUAGCUAGCAUUUACCUUAGUUAAAUAAUUUUAGAACUAUGUCUUAAAGUAAUUCGAUGGAUGAUUGACUUGAUAAUAAGAUCAUGGGUCUUAUGAAGGUAGACAAGAUCCUCUAGAUUGGCCAUAGGCCCUUCAUUUUAAAUAAUACGGUUCUUAAUGUUUACAGCAUCCUUGCUAUAAUUUGUGGUAUUCUUUUUCUUGUCAAAAUUUUCAGUGCUACUAAAUUGGUGGGGGAUGAUCAUAAUCACCAUUCUAUUUUCUAGAGACGAGUGCUUGGUGGUUGACAAAACCCCGUUUACUAUUUGUGUGUUUUACAGCUCUCUCUCUCUCUCUCUCUCUCUCUCUCUCUCUCUCUCUCUAUAUAUAUAUAUAUAUAUAUAUAUAUAUAUAUAUAUAUAUAUAUAUAUAUAUAUUAAAUCCACUUAAUACUUGUUUGGUAGUCAAAAUAAGAUAAUGACAAAUAAGAGAACUAAAUAAAAGUAUGAAAGGAUAUAACAGGUUGGCAAUUUCCAACUUACCUUAAGUAAAAAUUGUUCACUCUAUAAAUGCAACUUGUAGAUGAAACUCCCACCCUUAUAAUACUCUGCUUCACUAAUCACAAUAUUACCGUUUACAAUAGUAAUGAUAUGAUGUCUUGACUUGAUAAAUAUCUUUUCCAGCCAAAUUAUGAUUAAAUGUAAAAUAGCGCAACACUCGAACUGUUAAAAGAUAAAUGUAUGUUAAAAUAAUUAACAUACGGUUUACAUAAUUGUUUUUUUAUAGAACGGAAAAAGGAAAUGGUACAUGUGCAGGAGGUAUAAUAUACACUAAAAUCAGGAAAAAAAAAUAUGGAAGAAAAUUCUUGGUCCUAACAUGAACACAACUUUAAAUUGAGGAAUCAACACUAAAUGUUGUAAAUUGUUUAAGAUACUUUUUGUACUACCUAUUUUUUUUUUAAAAAUCAACUAUUUUUUGUAUUUUUGAGAUAUUAAAAUAAAAUUGCGUAUCUCUACUUUUUAAGAUAAUUGUUGUAGAUAAAUAAUAUCUUUUCUUUAACUUUUAUGUUUACACUUCUGCACAACAUAAGAUUACUAACAUUUUUUUUAUAUCUAUGUAUAUAAUAAUCACAAUUGUUUAUACAUUAGAGUAUGACACCAUGCCUGCAUAAAAAAGAAAAAUCGUAUAAUAGAAAAAAUUAUUACAAUGUACUACAAUGUGUUUCCGCUAGUUAAUUAUAAAAUCGAUAUCUUUAUAAUUACUGUUUCGGUUUUGAAAAACAAAUAUUUCAUUUAAAGGAAAAAAGAAAUAUUUUAACCAUCCAAAUCUUGAUAUGAAAGUUAUUGGACCUGAAAAGAAAAAAUAGAUAGCAAUAUUUCGGAUUUUUCUUCCUACACCCAGCAUUUGUUCUUGUUCACCUAGCAUUUAGGAUGAAAACUCAAAUACACGCUUACGUUAUAACCUAUACGGAUUGUCAAUCCGUAAGGCCAUGAACCUCCACGGCAAGGUUGACAGUGACAAAGUACACAGACAGCGUGAGAGGGAGACGCUCCGCGAUGAGGUUGGAGCGAAGGGCGAUGCUGAGGAGUUGGCGCUGUCACGAGGAUCACACACCACGCCCACUUCCUCCCCCUCCUUGGCCAGCGUCGUCACGAGGAUCUUAGCAACCUUGUGUGACUCUGAUGUGAUGAUGCUGCUAUGCAAGACUAGAGGGAGGGCGAUGGCCAUGAAGGAGGUGGCGGUGCUAUGACGCGUCAGAAGUUGGAGUGAAGGGCGAUGGCAGUGGCGGUGCGAGGAGGUGGCGAUGUUACGGUGCGGCAGAGGUGGUGUAACAAAAUUGGUGAGGAGGAGGUGGGGAAGGUAAUGGCCUUACGGAUUUGCUAUGGAUUAUGAAUCCAUAUGUUUUAAAAAGGGGUAAUUUUGGUAAAACGAAAAUAUUUGGGGUUUAUUGGUGGGCUCCGGAAUGGCCCAGUAAAUGUUUAUUGGGCGGGUCAUAGAGAACCGGAUGAGAUCCGUUUUGUACGGAUCCGGGUUGCACACUACAGAAAUAUUUGGCGUUUUGGUUUGGAGCUAAGUGUGAAUGGGGAGAAGAGAAGAAGGCCGAGAACAACAACGGAAAAGGGUUUUUGGUUUUGGACUCUGAAAGAAACUCAAAGUGAUGCGUUUCAUCGUUCCUUCGCCCAAACCCUAACCUCGUCCUCGUGCAUUCAUUCCCCGCGAUCAGGUUCGCUCUCGAUUUCCCCCUCUUUUUCGCGUCCUUUUCUGUUUCCAUUCCUCACAACACUCGCAUCACUCUCAACUUCACUGAUUACUUUUUUUUCCAUGGAUUUUGGGUUAUCAUGUUUCUUGUUGUUCGCUUCACUCUUC